rnacentral:rRNA from 1 species
UACGAAGGGGGCUAGCGUUGUUCGGAAUUACUGGGCGUAAAGGGCGCGUAGGCGGCCAUUCAAGUUAGGUGUGAAAGCCCUGGGCUCAACCUAGGAAUUGCACUUGAUACUGUUGGCUUGAGUUCGGGAGAGGUGAGUGGAAUUCCCAGUGUAGAGGUGAAAUUCGUAGAUAUUGGGAAGAACACCAGUGGCGAAGGCGGCUCACUGGACCGACACUGACGCUGAGGCGCGAAAGCGUGGGGAGCAACAGGA